rnacentral:lncRNA from 1 species
CCUGCUCUCCUUUCAUUUUUUCCGGUCACCUGAAGCCAGCGCCGUUCCCAUCGCCUCCCGCCGCCGUUCCCCGUGCCGCUCUUUUUCUCCCUCACCUCUGUUGUCUCAGGCUAGCGCGGCUGUCGCAGGAAGCCUGCGAUUCGUUCGAUCGGGAAGUUGCAUUGCAACUCUCUCUGAUUUUUCCGGCGACUCGAGUGCAAACGGUCAACUCCAAUCUCUCUCUAGUCGACGGUGAAGCUCUAGCUCUCCUUUCCGCCGUUCUCUCUCCUUCUCGUUCCAGCUAGCGCAGCAAACUAAGGAGCUGCGAGAUGCGGUCUUAGGCGAUCG